AUUUCUGUAAGUGUUGACGAAUCAUUAAUAAUAAAUUUGUUCUUAUCGGCUUAACUUCUGAUACACUUCCCAUCAGGGAGUUCAAAUGUUAAACUAAUUUUUGGAAAGCAGGCGGAGAAUUCGGGGCUUGCUCCUACUCCGCCGUGUGUUGUCUCGGUAUUGCAAUACCACCGGGAACGGGCCAAUACCA